UACAGAGGGGGCAAGCGUUGUUCGGAAUUACUGGGCGUAAAGGGCGCGUAGGCGGCCUGCUAAGUCGAACGUGAAAUCCCCGAGCUCAACUCGGGAACUGCGUCCGAUACUGGCAGGCUUGAAUCCGGGAGAGGGAUGCGGAAUUCCAGGUGUAGCGGUGAAAUGCGUAGAUAUUCGCAAGAACACCAGUGGCGAAGGCGGCUGUCUGGUCCGGUUCUGACGCUGAGGCGCGAAAGCGUGGGGAGCAAACAGG
rnacentral:rRNA from 1 species